UCUUUCAUCCAGGACAUGGCUCACUGAUUGGCUGGGCUAAACAAGGUGUCCUUUCGUUGAACACCUGUCUCACAGUGCAACAUGGCGAACCUUACUCUCAUCGAGACGAAGGCUGGGAGAUAUUCACAGACGCUGUUGUGUCCUAUCUCAACAACAACUACACGGGGCUGGUGUUUAUGUUGUGGGGAAUUGAAGCUCAAAAAAAGAGAGUCUUAAUAAACGAGAGCAAACACCGUGUCCUGCCGGCUUACCAUCCAGCAAGCUGGAAUCCUAAGUAUAGUUUCAUAGGAUACGAGCACUUCGCCAAGUGUAAUGCAGAAUUAAUCCUGAUGGGCAAAACCCCCAUUGACUGGAGUUAUCUGCCUGCUUACUAGUAUGAGGGAGCUACCUUCUCGCUUUUUGCUUUAAUAAAAACCAUGUAAUUGGU